UCGGGAAUUUUGGGCAAUGGGCGAAAGCCUGACCCAGCAACGCCGCGUGAAGGAUGAAGUAUUUCGGUAUGUAAACUUCGUAAGAAUAGGAAGAAUAAAUGACGGUACUAUUUGUAAGGUCCGGCUAACUACGUGCCAGCAGCCGCGGUAAUACGUAGGGACCAAGCGUUGUUCGGAUUUACUGGGCGUAAAGGGCGCGUAGGCGGCGUGGUAAGUCAUCUGUGAAAUCUCCGAGCUUAACUCGGAACGGUCAGAUGAUACUGCUGUGCUAGAGUACAGAAAGGGCAAUCGGAAUUCUUGGUGUAGCGGUGAAAUGCGUAGAUAUCAAGAGGAACACCUGAGGCGAAGGCGGGUUGCUAGGCUGAUACUGACGCUGAGGCGCGAAAGCUAGGGUAGCGAAGAGGAUUAGAUACCCUGGUAGUCCCUGAGCGGGCUGGCAAGGCGCAU
rnacentral:rRNA from 1 species